AUUGAACGCUGGCGGCAGGCUUAACACAUGCAAGUCGAGCGGGGUGAUGGUGCUUGCACUAUCACUUAGCGGCGGACGGGUGAGUAAUGCUUAGGAAUCUGCCUAUUAGUGGGGGACAACAUCUCGAAAGGGAUGCUAAUACCGCAUACGUCCUACGGGAGAAAGCAGGGGAUCACUUGUGACCUUGCGCUAAUAGAUGAGCCUAAGUCGGAUUAGCUAGUUGGUGGGGUAAUGGCCUACCAAGGCGACGAUGUGUAGCGGGUCUGAGAGGAUGACCCGCCCAACUGGGACGGGGACCCGGCCCAGACUCCUGCGGGAGGAAGCAGGGGGGAAUAUUGGAAAAUGGGGGGAACCCUGAUCCAGCCAUGCCGCGUGUGUGAAGAAGGCCUUAUGGUUGUAAAGCACUUUAAGCGAGGAGGAGGCUCUUUUGGUUAAUACCCAAGAUGAGUGGACGUUACUCGCAGAAUAAGCACCGGCUAACUCUGUGCCAGCCGCCGCGGUAA
rnacentral:rRNA from 1 species